UGACAGGAGUUAAUGUGUUCCCCGGAUAAGUUGGUUCUUCAGUCAGUGAUAUCUUCUGCUCGCAUAAUUUUGAAGAAUUGACCUUCGGGCAUUCAGCCUCUAUGUAAAUGAAAGCCUUAGAAUUGGUUGAUAUAAGGAUGUGCAAGCGGUAC